rnacentral:rRNA from 1 species
UCCUAGCCCAUUGCGAGUCGAAUGUAGCAAUACAUGGCGAACUGCUCAGUAACACGUGGACAACCUGCCUUAGGUUGGGUAUAAACCCGGGAAACUGGGUAUAAUACCCGAUAGGUCUCGAUUGCUGGAAUGCAUCGAGAUUUAAAGCUCCGGCGCCUAAGGAUGGGUCUGCGGCCUAUCAGGUAGUAGUGGGUGUAGCGUACCUACUAGCCUACGACGGGUACGGGUUGUGAGAGCAAGAGCCCGGAGAUGGAUUCUGAGACACGAAUCCAGGCCCUACGGGGUGCAGCAGGCGCGAAAACUUUACAAUGCUGGCAACAGCGAUAAGGGAACCUCGAGUGCCAGGUUACAAAUCUGGCUGUCGAGAUGCCUAAAAAGCAUUUCAUAGCAAGGGCCGGGCAAGACCGGUGCCAGCCGCCGCGGUAACACCGGCGGCUCGAGUGGUAACCGUUAUUAUUGGGUCUAAAGGGUCUGUAGCCGGCCGGAUAAGUCUCUUGAGAAAUCUGGCAGCUUAACUGUCAGGCUUUCAGGAGAUACUGUCUGGCUCGAGGCCGGGAGAGGUGAGAGGUACUUCAGGGGUGGGGGUGAAAUCUUGUAAUCCUUGAAGGACCACCAGUGGCGAAGGCGUCUCACCAGAACGGACCUGACGGCAAGGGACGAAAGCUAGGGGCACGAACCGGAUUAGAUACCCGGGUAGUCCUAGCCGUAAACGAUACUCGCUAGGUGUCGGCCACGGUGCGACCGUUGUCGGUGCCGUAGGGAAGCCGUGAAGCGAGCCACCUGGGAAGUACGGCCGCAAGGCUGAAACUUAAAGGAAUUGGCGGGGGGGCACCACAACGGGUGGAGCUUGCGGUUUAAUUGGAUUCAACGCCGGAAAUCUUACCGGGACCGACAGCAAUAUGAAGGCCAGGCUGAAGACUUUGCCGGAUUAGCUGAGAGGUGGUGCAUGGCCGUCGUCAGUUCCGUAANCUGANNNCU